UAGAGCACGAAGAACCUGGGGGAGUUUGGAGAAAGCUACAGGCCCCAGGAAUAAAGUUGAGGAGGGAGGAGUGUUCAUUCUCCCACUUCCCGCCACCUUCCGUCCACCCUGCCUGGACCAGCGUUCUGCCAACCUGGAGCAGAGGGCCAAAGGCGGGCUCCAGGAUCAGCCCCGCCCCCACACCCACAGCACCCCCGUGAGCUCCACGGACCCCCAGGCAGCCAGACUGCCCCAGAGCAUGGGAGGUGGGAAAUGGCUGUCUGAGCUCUGAUAAAGAUAUCAAAAGAAAAGCUAAUUUAAACGAGUAAUACAUCACAAAUGCCAGGGCAGCUCACCACAAGGAAAUCUAGCAAUGGAGCUCGCCGCACUAACUAUUCAUUAAAUAGGAAAAUAUGGACUUAGAGCCAUAGAGCCCACCUGCCCUGACCACCUUCACCCGGGGCCACUCUGAGGUCUUGGUGCUCUGGGAUUGCUGCCCAGGACGCCAGGUGCAACCUCUCUCUGGGACUCAUCCCAGCCUCAGCCCUCAGCAGCUCCCCUUUCCCUGCCCGGGCUAGGGAGUCUCUCAUCCUGGUUAGAGGGCAGUGCCUCCCUCCCGCUCUGUAUCGUGAGACAAAGUAGCACACGUAGGAAGCUGUGUGUGCUCAUCCUGCCUGCAGGCAGGAUUUCCUGAGCUCCUGACUCAGGACUGGGUGCAGCUUGUGGAAGGAUGCCCCGGAGGCCAUGAGUGGGCUACAGACCAGGUCCCCGUUCUCCUGCCUGAGUCACUGGGUUUUUAGAAAGAUGAGUUCAAUGAUCCUGACUCUUGCUUCUUCCUGCAUGAAAGAUGAUGAUGCUGACAGGAUUUGCAAUUAUGCCCCUAGGAUCCGUGGCCAGAUGCAGCCACACACCCAGCCCUGAGGCUCUGCCCCACUGUCACACCUGGGUACGUGCGGAGCCGCUGCCCACACGCAGGUUGUAGGCUGGAACAGCUCUGGAGCAGCCUACUAGAAACUCUUGGAAAGACCCCUCGGUUGUCAUAUUUAGCAAGGCUUCUGAAUAAAACUAACUUCCAUCCUUUAAAGCCUGAGUUUUCUUGACCUGGCAGUGUCUUGAGAUGUUCUGAGAGGUUCCUCCUCAGACUCCUCCCUCUGUCUCACUGUCUGCCUCUGAGGGGCCCACAGCCAGGUGGGUCAGGCUUCUGGAAGCACCAGGACAGGGUUCCAGGGGACCUUGGUGUUCUGCCCUAUCAGCCCCUCCUCUCAGGCAGCAAGCAGGCCUAGUCCACCUGCUUCAACAGAGUGGGAGACUUACAAAAAGAAAUCACAAAAAAAUAAAAAGCAUCCACUCAUCGCACCAACAAUGGCCAGAAAAAUGUGAAGGUAAGAAGGGAAAUCCAAUUUGCAACACCAAAAAACCAUAAAUUACCCAGUAAUAAGUACAUCAAGGAAGGAGCACAGCCCAUCACUCAGUCCGACUCAGUGGGACAUCG
rnacentral:lncRNA from 1 species